rnacentral:rRNA from 1 species
CCCGCUGAACUUAAGCAUAUCAAUAAGCGGAGGAAAAGAAACUAACAAGGAUUCCCCUAGUAACUGCGAGUGAAGCGGGAAGAGCUCAAAUUUGAAAUCUGGCAGCUCUCUGAACUGUCCGAGUUGUAAUCUAGAGAAGUGUUACCUGUGCUGGACCGUGUACAAGUCUCCUGGAAUGGAGCGUCACAGAGGGUGAGAAUCCCGUCUUUGACACGGACUGCCUGCAUGUUUAUGGUGCGCUCUCAAAGAGUCGAGUUGUUUGGGAAUGCAGCUCAAAAUGGGUGGUAAAUGCCAUCUAAAGCUAAAUAUUGGCGAGAGACCGAUAGCGAACAAGUACCGUGAGGGAAAGAUGAAAAGAACUUUGGAAAGAGAGUUAAACAGUACGUGAAAUUGCUGAAAGGGAAACGCUUGAAGUCAGUCGCGUCGGCUAGAAAUCAACCUUGCUUUUGCUUGGUGUACUUUCUUGUUGAUGGGUCAGCAUCAAUUUUGACCGUUGGAUAAAGUCUAGGGGAAUGUGGCAUCUUCGGAUGUGUUAUAGCCCUUGGUCGCAUACAACGGUUGGGAUUGAGGAACUCAGCACGCCGCAAGGCCGGGUAUUCGUACCACGUUCGUGCUUAGGAUGCUGGCAUAAUGGCUUUAAUCGACCCGUCUUGAAACACGG